rnacentral:rRNA from 1 species
CGGGACGGGUGAGUAAUGUCUGGGAAAUUGCCUGAUGGAGGGGGAUAACUACUGGAAACGGUAGCUAAUACCGCAUAACGUCGCAAGACCAAAGAGGGGGACCUUAGGGCCUCUUGCCAUCGGAUGUGCCCAGAUGGGAUUAGCUAGUAGGUGGGGUAACGGCUCACCUAGGCGACGAUCCCUAGCUGGUCUGAGAGGAUGACCAGCCACACUGGAACUGAGACACGGUCCAG